GUGUCAGCAGCCGCGGUAAUACGAGAGCCCCGAGCGUUAUCCGGAUUUAUUGGGCGUAAAGCGUGUGCAGGUGGUUUAUCGCAUCUUUUGUUAAAUUCCAGGGCUCAACCCUGGAGCCGCAAAAGAGAUGGAUAAGCUAGAGACUGGAAGAGGCAAGCGGAAUUGCUGGUGUAGGGGUUAAAUCCGUUAAUAUCAGCAGGAACACCAAAUGCGUAAGCAGCUUGCUAGGACAGUUCUGACACUCAUACACGAAAGCGUGGGGAGCGAAUGGGAUUAGAAACCCUCGUAGUCC
rnacentral:rRNA from 1 species